AACGAACGCUGGCGGCAGGCUUAACACAUGCAAGUCGAGCGCCCCGCAAGGGGAGCGGCAGACGGGUGAGUAACGCGUGGGAAUCUACCCAUCUCUACGGAAUAACGCAUGGAAACGUGUGCUAAUACCGUAUACGUCCUUCGGGAGAAAGAUUUAUCGGAGAUGGAUGAGCCCGCGUUGGAUUAGCUGGUUGGUGGGGUACAGGCCUACCAAGGCGACGAGCCAUAGCUGGUCUGAGAGGAUGAUCAGCCACACUGGGACUGAGACACGGCCCAGACUCCUACGGGAGGCAGCAGUGGGGGAUAUUGGACAAUGGGCGCAAGCCUGAUCCAGCCAUGCCGCGUGAGUGAUGAAGGCCCUAGGGUUGUAAAGCUCUUUCACCGGUGAAGAUAAUGACGGUAACCGGAGAAGAAGCCCCGGCUAACUUCGUGCCAGCCGCCGCGGUAAGAC
rnacentral:rRNA from 1 species